rnacentral:misc_RNA from 1 species
AUCCUGCUCUCUUGAGAAAGGGUCGUUUUGACAAGAUUAUAAGAGUUGGUUUGCCAUCUAAAGAUGGCAGAUUGGCAAUUUUAAAGGUGCAUGCCAGAAAUAAAUUUUUCCGUUCAGAGCAGGAAAAGGAGGCUUUACUUCUGGAAAUUGCGGAGUUGACAGAAGAUUUUACAGGAGNNNCAGAAUAUACUGAAUGAAGCUGGAAUUUUAACAGCCAGGAAGGAUUUAGAUUACAUUGGACGAGAAGAACUUCUAGAGGCUUUGAAGAGGCAAAAAGGAACUUUUGAAACAGGCCAGGAAGAUAGUACUGAAAUUCCACAGGAAUUAAAAUUAAGAUUGGCAUAUCGGGAAGCAGCUGUUGCUGUUCUUGCGUGCUAUUUUCCUGAUCCCUAUCACCCUUUUACAGAGACACAUAUAAAUUCUAUCCAUAGCCAGCCAAACAUGCACUAUGCAGAAACUGCCGGCAGGGUUUUUGCAAGGAAAUCAGAUUAUGUGAAUGCUAUAGUGCGUGCAUGCUCUCCUAGAGUAAUUGAGGAGGAGAUGUUUGGGGCAAACAAUUUGUGUUGGAUCUCUGCAAAAGCAACAUUAGAAGCUUCAAGGCUUGCAGAGCGUUUGAUUCUUCAGACUGGGAUGACAGCAUUUGGGAAAGCAUUCUACAGGAAUCAUAGUGAUCUUGUCCCCAAUCUUGCAGCAAAACUUGAAGCACUUCGGGAUNNNNGCGUUAUGCUGUUGAAAAAUGUUCAUCAGUGCUGAGAGAAUACCAUUCAGCUGUGCAGACAAUUACAGAUAUUUUACUUGAGAAGGGAGAGAUAAAAGCUGACAAAAUUUGGGAUAUAUACAAAAGUACUCCACGAAUACCUCAACCUGCUGUGAGCCCUGUUGAUGAAUAUGGAGCCCUAAUUUAUGCUGGACGAUGGGGUAUGCAUGGGAUUACACUUCCUGGGAGAGUUACAUUUGCACCUGGAAAUGUUGGCUUUUCAACCUUUGGUGCUCCCCGCCCCAUGGAGACUCAAAUUAUCAGUGAUGAAACCUGGAAGCUCAUAGAUGGUAUUUGGGAUAAAAGGAUUGAAGAAAUAAAAGCUGAAGCUUCAAUGGAGAUUGAGGAAGACAAUGAGAAGCCACAACUUUUGAUGGCCAGCCAUUUUCUUUGAAGACAAUUCAUUUUUUCUUGGUGGUCAGAAUGCAGUUCCAUUGCCUCUCUCCUCCCAUCUUGUAUGCAGUUCCAUCUGAAACCUC